GAUGAACGCUGGCGGCGUGCCUAAUACAUGCAAGUCGAGCGAACGGACGAGAAGCUUGCUUUUCUGAUGUUAGCGGCGGACGGGUGAGUAACACGUGGAUAACCUACCUAUAAGACUGGGAUAACUUCGGGAAACCGGAGCUAAUACCGGAUAAUAUUUUGAACCGCAUGGUUCAAAAGUGAAAGACGUUCUUGCUGUCACUAAUAGAUGGAUCCGCGCUGCAUUAGCUAGUUGGUAAGGUAACGGCUUACCAAGGCAACGAUGCAUAGCCGACCUGAGAGGGUGAUCGGCCACACUGGAACUGAGACACGGUCCAGACUCCUACGGGAGGCAGCAGUAGGGAAUCUUCCGCAAUGGGCGAAAGCCUGACGGAGCAACGCCGCGUGAGUGAUGAAGGUCUUCGGAUCGUAAAACUCUGUUAUUAGGGAAGAACAUAUGUGUAAGUAACUGUGCACAUCUUGACGGUACCUAAUCAGAAAGCCACGGCUAACUACGUG
rnacentral:rRNA from 1 species